GGCUGAGAUGUCGUGGACCUGGGACCUGGGUGAACUUUGUUUUUAGUAACCAGAGCUUCCGCGUUCCCAGCUCAGAUCUACGGAGGAGGACGCUGAACACAGUGAGCUGCUACCUGCUGCUACUUACAUCCCGCCCAACUGGCUUGGAGGACUGAGAGUGGGAAAUACAGAUGGAAAGAAUAAGCCUAAAAUAAAAUAGUCUUUUUACCCUGAUAAGAAGGUUCCUCCUACCGAAAUACGUCUAGAUUGUCUCCCCUGGAGUACUGUCAACUCCGUUCUUUUCAAGAACUCUUCAACUAGGUCAAAAUCGGCCGUCAACCCACUCCGUUCACCCUACCACUAUUAGUUUCUUGCCAAAGACUCCAACUCUUUCAUUCUUUUCCUGAUUUCUUACUGCACUUAUAAUUGACUUUUUAAAACUUCAUACUCUUUUUUUUUUUUUUUUCUGGUUUUUCGAGACAGGAUUUCUCUGUAUAGUCCUGGCUGUCUUGGAACUCACUCUGUAGACCAGGCUGGCCUCGAACUCAGAAAUUCGCCUGCCUCUGCCUCCCAAGUGGUGGGAUUAAAGGCGUGCGCCACCACGCCGGGCCAAGAACUUCAUACUUUAUUUUACAAUGUUUUCAGUUUCAAGUAAAUUGUUCGUGAGAGUAGAAAGUAUUUCUUUAUUUCUUUGUACUUUCUUGUAAUGUAUUACAGUCUCAGACGCAUGGUAACUGACGCAGACUGCCUUGAUCUUACAAACUGAGCCUGCCCCUAGGGAAUGUCUUCUAGAUUACCAUAGAAGUGGCUCCAUUCGGCCUAGACAUCUCUCAUCCUACACUUCACAUUUAUCCUUUGAGUGAGCCGUAUUAACCUCUAGUCAUAGUCUGGUAUGUCUGUGCUUUGAUGUAAUUACAUGGUGUAGAUUAAUAACUACCUCUAUUGGUUUUUUACUAUGCAUUGCCCAUAAUAUACUGUGAUAACACAUUACCAUUCAAAUAACCUUAUAACUAAAUUGUAGGGUUCUUGAGAGUAGAAAGUAUGUAUUUCUUUGUACUUCCUUGCAUUACAGUUGCAGGCACAUGGUAACUGACACAGACUGUCUGGCUUGAUCUUAGAAGUCGAGCCUGUCAAGAGUUAUUUGAAUGAUACUGUGUUAUCACAGUAUACGUGGCCUAAAUUAUCAUAAUUGUUAUUUGUUAAGGACUUAUUCCCAGUUGUCAGACAUACUAACUACUUUUUAAUGUAAAGUAGAUAUCCCUAUCUGUAUCAAUGAGCAAAAUCAGGAUUUAUGGAGAAUAAAUAAAACAUAGCCAACUAGUAGCAGAACUGGAAUUGAAAGUAGGCCUGUCUAGCCCAGGAUAACAAUGAUUGUGCGACAAACGUUCAAAUAAAACGCUGAUAUGGAAUUCU
rnacentral:lncRNA from 1 species